rnacentral:rRNA from 1 species
UGGGGAAUAUUGCACAAUGGGCGCAAGCCUGAUGCAGCCAUGCCGCGUGUAUGAAGAAGGCCUUCGGGUUGUAAAGUACUUUCAGUCGGGAGGAAGGUGGUAAGGUUAAUAACCUUAUCAAUUGACGUUACCGACAGAAGAAGCACCGGCUAACUCCGUGCCAGCAGCCGUGGUAAUACGGAGGGUGCAAGCGUUAAUCGGAAUUACUGGGCGUAAAGCGCACGCAGGCGGUUGAUUGAGUCAGAUGUGAAAUCCCCGGGCUUAACCCGGGAAUUGCAUCUGAUACUGGUCAGCUAGAGUCUUGUAGAGGGGGGUAGAAUUCCAGGUGUAGCGGUGAGAUGCGUAGAGAUCUGGAGGAAUACCGGUGGCGAAGGCGGCCCCCUGGACAAAGACUGACGCUCAGGUGCGAAAGCGUGGGGAGCAAACAGG